UACAGAGGGUGCGAGCGUUGUUCGGAAUUAUUGGGCGUAAAGGGCGCGUAGGCGGUGCGGUAAGUCACCUGUGAAAUCUCCUGGCUCAACUGGGAGCUUGCAGGCGAAACUGCCGUGCUGGAGUGUGGGAGAGGUGCGUGGAAUUCCCGGUGUAGCGGUGAAAUGCGCAGAUAUCGGGAAGAACACCCGUGGCGAAGGCGGCUCUCUGGAACGCAACUGACGCUGAGACGCGAAAGCGUGGGGAGCAAACAGG
rnacentral:rRNA from 1 species